rnacentral:rRNA from 1 species
CAUGCAAGUCGAACGGUGAAGGGGGAGCUUGCUCCUCUGGAUCAGUGGCGAACGGGUGAGUAACACGUGAGUAACCUGCCCUUGACUCUGGGAUAAGCGUUGGAAACGACGUCUAAUACCGGAUACGAGCUUCAGCCGCAUGGCUAGGAGUUGGAAAGAAUUUUGGUCAAGGAUGGACUCGCGGCCUAUCAGGUUGUUGGUGAGGUAAUGGCUCACCAAGCCUACGACGGGUAGCCGGCCUGAGAGGGUGACCGGCCACACUGGGACUGAGACACGGCCCAGACUCCUACGGGAGGCAGCAGUGGGGAAUAUUGCACAAUGGGCGAAAGCCUGAUGCAGCAACGCCGCGUGAGGGACGACGGCCUUCGGGUUGUAAACCUCUUUUAGCAGGGAAGAAGCGAAAGUGACGGUACCUGCAGAAAAAGCACCGGCUAACUACGUGCCAGCAGCCGCGGUAAUACGUAGGGUGCAAGCGUUAUCCGGAAUUAUUGGGCGUAAAGAGCUCGUAGGCGGUUGGUCGCGUCUGCUGUGAAAUCCCGAGGCUCAACCUCGGGUCUGCAGUGGGUACGGGCCAGCUAGAGUGCGGUAGGGGAGAAUGGAAUUCCUGGUGUAGCGGUGGAAUGCGCAGAUAUCAGGAGGAACACCGAUGGCGAAGGCAGUUCUCUGGGCCGUUACUGACGCUGAGGAGCGAAAGCGUGGGGAGCGAACAGGAUUAGAUACCCUGGUAGUCCACGCCGUAAACGUUGGGCGCUAGAUGUGG